rnacentral:rRNA from 1 species
GACGAACGCUGGCGGCGUGCUUAACACAUGCAAGUCGAACGGUAAGGCCCUUCGGGGUACACGAGUGGCGAACGGGUGAGUAACACGUGGGUGAUCUGCCCUGCACUUCGGGAUAAGCCUGGGAAACUGGGUCUAAUACCGGAUAGGACUCCGGACUGCAUGGUCUGGGGUGGAAAGCUUUUGCGGUGUGGGAUGGGCCCGCGGCCUAUCAGCCUGUUGGUGGGGUGAUGGCCUACCAAGGCGACGACGGGUAGCCGGCCUGAGAGGGUGAUCGGCCACACUGGGACUGAGAUACGGCCCAGACUCCUACGGGAGGCAGCAGUGGGGAAUAUUGCACAAUGGGCGCAAGCCUGAUGCAGCGACGCCGCGUGAGGGAUGACGGCCUUCGGGUUGUAAACCUCUUUCAGCAUCGACGAAGCGAAAGUGACGGUAGGUGCAGAAGAAGGACCGGCCAACUACGUGCCAGCCGCCGCAGUAA